rnacentral:lncRNA from 1 species
CCCAGCGCCCCGGACCCCGACCCCGGUUGGGACGCAGCCCCCGCGCCGCCUGCCAAGCGGCGCAAGUCCGAGUCACCCGACAUGGACCAGGCCAGCUUCUCCAGCGACAGCCCGCAGGACGACGCGCUCACGGAGCACCUGCAGAGCGCCAUCGACAGCAUCCUGAACCUGCAGCAGCCGCCCGGCCGGCCCGGCCCGCACCCCGCGCCCCAGUCCCCGCCGCCUCUGCACAGGCCCGAGGCCUUCCCGCCCUCCAGCCACAACGGGGGCCUGGGCCCCGGCAGGACGUUGAACAGAUAACACCGGGCCGCCGCCUGCCCUGCCCGGGAACACCGGCGGGGACCCCAUAGUCCUUCUUGCCUAAGUUAUUUGAGUCACAAAGGCCUCCUCUCCUUGGGGGUUGUUGAGGGUCCGGUGGGGCGCGUGGGUUCAGGGGAGGGGCUGUCAUGUACAUGUGUCCCCCGCCAAAGGAGGGGCUCCCUGGUGCGGCGCUUCUGGUUCUUCCCAUUUCCGGCUGCAGCCGGCUUUGCUGGGCGCGCGUGAGCGUGUGUGCCCGGGAGGGGGAACCGGGUGUUCCCACGGCCCGGCCCAGGCACCGGUCUUGUCUGUGUGGCAUCAGGAUCGUGGCCAGGGGUGUUGGGGGUCCUGCCAGGCCCCGAGCCUCCUGGCCCAGGCUGUAAACCAAACCCGAGGAGGGCACCCGCGGGCCCUGCCCAGUUGUGCCUGCGCAUCCGUGUGUGUGUGUGCACGCGCACGUGCGCGUGCAAGUGAGAGAUCCUGGCCGCUCAGUCCCUCCCUUGGGAAUCUCAGCCGCGCGGCCCGGGCUCCUCCCUCCUCCAGCCGUCUUCCCGCUCCUUCCUGCCUCCCACGCCACGUUUUGAAAUCUCGGAGACAGAACUAGUACUGUAAGAUAAAUUUUUUUGUACUGUAUUUAUUGUGUAUAACGAUUUUUUAAAAGGAGAAUUCUGUACAUUUAGAACUCUUGUAAAUUAAAAAACCAAUCCUUUUUUUUAAGACUGUA